UACGUAGGUGGCAAGCGUUGUCCGGAUUUAUUGGGUUUAAAGGGUGCGUAGGCGGUUCUGUAAGUCAGUGGUGAAAUCCGGCAGCUCAACUGUCGAUGUGCCAUUGAUACUGCAGAACUUGAGUACAGACGAGGUAGGCGGAAUUGACGGUGUAGCGGUGAAAUGCUUAGAUAUCGUCAAGAACACCGAUAGCGAAGGCAGCUUACUAGACUGUAACUGACGCUGAUGCACGAAAGUGUGGGGAUCAAACAGG
rnacentral:rRNA from 1 species